GAUGAACGCUGGCGGCGUGCCUAAUACAUGCAAGUCGAGCGAACGGACGAGAAGCUUGCUUCUCUGAUGUUAGCGGCGGACGGGUGAGUAACACGUGGAUAACCUACCUAUAAGACUGGGAUAACUUCGGGAAACCGGAGCUAAUACCGGAUGAUAUUUUGAACCGCAUGGUUCAAAAGUGAAAGACGGUCUUGCUGUCACUUAUAGAUGGAUCCGCGCUGCAUUAGCUAGUUGGUAAGGUAACGGCUUACCAAGGCAACGAUGCAUAGCCGACCUGAGAGGGUGAUCGGCCACACUGGAACUGAGACACGGUCCAGACUCCUACGGGAGGCAGCAGUAGGGAAUCUUCCGCAAUGGGCGAAAGCCUGACGGAGCAACGCCGCGUGAGUGAUGAAGGUAUUCGGAUCGUAAAACUCUGUUAUUAGGGAAGAACAUAUGUGUAAGUAACUGUGCACAUCUUGACGGUACCUAACCAGAAAGCCACGGCUAACUACGUG
rnacentral:rRNA from 1 species